rnacentral:misc_RNA from 1 species
UGUGUAAGUAUAGGGGC